GGGGGCUGCGUGUGUGUGUGUGUGUGUGUGUGUGUGUGUGUGUGUGUGCUCGCGCGUGCUCACGCUUAAACAAGGCGCCCAUGGCCUCCCGC
rnacentral:pre_miRNA from 1 species